rnacentral:misc_RNA from 1 species
GAUGAAGAACGCAGUGAAAUGCGAUAAGUAGUGUGAAUUGCAGAAUUCAGUGAAUCAUCGAAUCUUUGAACGCACAUUGCGCCCCUUGGUAUUCCAUGGGGCAUGCCUGUUCGAGCGUCAUUUGUACCCUCCAGCCCUGCUGGGUAUUGGGCGUUUUGUUCCGCUACGCGCGUGAACUCGCCUCAAAUGCAUUGGCAGCCCGCCGUCCCGUGUGGGAGCGCAGCACAUUUUGCGCUCUCCGCUGCUGACGGUGGCAUCCACAAGUCUACCAUUUUACGCUUGACCUCGGAUCAGGUAGGGAUACCCGCUGAACUUAAGCAUAUCAAUAAGCGGAGGA